rnacentral:lncRNA from 1 species
UCCACCCAUCCAUCCAUCUAUCCAUCCAUCCAUCCAUCCAUCCUUCCACUCACCCAUCUAUCCACCCACUCAUGUAUCCAUCCAUCCAUCCUUCCAUCCAUCCAUCCAUCCAUCCAUCCAUCCAUCCAUCCAUCCAUCCAUUCAUCCAUCCAUCCAUUUCUUCAUCGAGCUAAGAAAUCAGGGUCUCAAAUGCAAAUGUCUCCAGGAAACAGUAAUAUAAAUGAGAAAAUCUUGGUGAAUCCUGUGGCAAAAGGGAACCAUCACUAUCCUUCUCCUCCUCCUCAUCAACAUCAACAUAUCUGUCAUUUAUUGAAUGUGUCCAUUCAUCUUCCAUUCUUUCAACAUUUACUGAAGCCUGACUAUGCUAGUUAAGACCUGAUUGGCUUCUGUGGAUAUGAUCAAAGAAAACAGUGUUGCUGAAAACUCCUUUACACCAAUCUGUGUAUCUGGCUAAUGCCUAGCCUCUUACCCAGGGCCUUUUCUCUCUCUUCUCCUGAUGAACACAUUGAAAUUCUGUUGCAACAAAUGUGCUUGCUUGCCAAGGGCUGGAACCAAUAGGUGUCAGGUGAAGGGUUGUCAGAUCAGUGGUAUCAGGAGUAGGAGACAUCACUAAAAAUCUUAAAGAGAAGGAUCUAGGCACAUUCAAGCGUUUCCGGACUUUUUUCCUAGUGCGAAGUCAUGCAUGGGAGAUCAGAUACCAGGAGAAAGAACAGAACGUGGCUUACUGAAAGGAGAGGUCAUGAGUUAGGGGCCGAGGCCUAUGGCAGCUCCAGGGACAGCCUCAAGGCCUUCAAUCUGGGCAAAUCUGACCUUGUAAAACAACUCCUGAGAUACUCUCUCUGAUAGCAAUAAUCCUAAAUGGCAUUUACUGAACACCUACUAUAUACCAAACAUUGUUCUUUCCAUAUGUUGUCUCAUUGAAUUCUAUAGCGAGCUUUCAAGAGGUGAAUCACGUUAUCCAGCUCUGGAUGAGGAAAGAGACUCAGAUUCAAAGAACAUCGUGCCAUGUUAUGCGAGAUCACAUGACUGAUAAGAAGCAGGAUUAGGAUUGGAACUCAGGAUUUAGAGCCCAUAGUUAUCCCCAAAAUUUAGCACAUCAAAAUUCCUUGGGAGCUUUUCUACCCCAUUGAUUCUUAAUGAGUAAGAUCCCCAGGUGAUCCUGAUGCAGGUGUUUUUGCAGACCACACUCUGAUAAACUCCACCUGAACCUUGCUGUUUUGGGGGGGACUUCUUUUAUUUUUGCAGCAUCCUUUGGUUGCUCAUUGUCCUUAGGAAUGUGACAGUGCUCAGAGAAGAAUCAACAUGGGGCUGGGGGAGAGCCAGGGUAGCAGUUACUUACACAUGAACUUUUUGUUUGCAAAAAGUUUCAG